rnacentral:ncRNA from 1 species
GGCGACGAGGGAAGUGUUGAUCCGGGCCGCCCCCACCGACCCCUCCUCGGAGGGGGCACGGAGAAAGAUCGGUCGCCGAGGUGGCCCGGGGAGCGAGUGGCGAGACCGACCCGACCAGCA